rnacentral:pre_miRNA from 7 species
CUUCAGGGUUCCUGGGUGUCACACAAAUCUUGGUGGAACCUCCAAAUGAAAGACCCUAGUGGGGAGACUCCCACUCAAGUCCCGAGAUGGUGCACACCCAAGGAAUCAAUCACAAGA